GAAAGUGCUUAAAAUAUAACAAAUAAAAAAAAAAAAACUUUGUCAUCUGCUACAAACAAUGAAAAUGAGGAAAAUUGGGCAGUAAAGCUUUUUCUGCGCUUUCUGACCCACUCUCCUAUCCACUGCUGGAGAUUUGACUAGCAGAUUCAACUGUCCGUUAGUUUUGCAAAUCCUCCUCAAAUUUGAGGAAACUUCUCAGUCAAAAUUAGAAAAAAAUGGCCGCAAGCAAGUGUAUUUUCGUAAGCAAACUACGCUCUAAGAGUGAUUUUAUUUUGCUUGUCGUAGCUUGAGCAUCAUCAAACAACUCAUUCGGCAUCUUCGAACAUUAUUGUGGAUUUUACACUAUUUGUGAAAUUAGGUUUUGGCAUCACUUCUUUUUUCCUCUGAUAAUCAAAGUUACUGAAUGUGGAUAGUAAUAGUAAGUGAAGAAAGCAAAAGCUUUGAACUGUUCUUAAGAUGUUUGAUUGCCUUAUGUUUUUGUUUCAUUAUAUUUUCAGUGAGAACAACCCGCAACAACAAACCUCAAAAAAUUUCUUUAUAUGAUACCGAUGCAUGUAUGCAGGACACGUUUGCCGAAACAGUGCCGAAAACAAAUGGAAUAUCACAGAAAGACUGUAAGGCAUCUUCUGGAAGUCCCUCAACCAGGCAUUGCAGCAACUGGUGUCUCAAUAUACUUUUACUACUUAGCAUACUGUGAGGACGCCAGGGAAAGAGUGUGCUUAUUGCCCAAGGAAAUUUUUCAUGAAGUUGUUAGGUAAUGCCUUAUUUAUGCCCAGCUUGUUGGUUGAUUGAUCAGUUUCUCCACACCUUCCUCCUUGCAGUCACAAAGACUUCUGAUCACUAUCUUAAAAGACAACCUUGAUUGCCUUCAUUGAUGUAGAUGUCUCAAGGUCUGUAAAACAUCAUGGAGUAGUAAUUUCAAGUUGGUCGUAGUGUGAAGUGCCACAAAGAUUUUUCAAACAAAAAGAAAAAAUUUGUAUUCAGAUUUUAUUAUCACUGGCAGUUGGCAUUAUUGAUGACCAUUAGGUGUUGGAUUUUUUCAGUUGUCAUCAAUAUUUUGACGUGUGUGUAACAAUGCUGAUUUCUAGAAUAAGCACUGAGCAUGAACCAGGGUUGACCUAAAUAAUUAAGGUUUCUGUUGGUGGUCCAUAAGUGGGAAACAUCACAAUAAAUAACCGUAAAUCACCUCUAGUUUAUUCAUUAUAUUUCUUCACUUUCAGCCCUGGCUCUCAUU